ACGUAGGGGGCAAGCGUUAUCCGGAUUUACUGGGUGUAAAGGGAGCGUAGACGGUUUUGCAAGUCUGAAGUGAAAGCCCGGGGCUUAACUCCGGGACUGCUUUGGAAACUGUAGAACUAGAGUGCAGGAGAGGUAAGUGGAAUUCCUAGUGUAGCGGUGAAAUGCGUAGAUAUUAGGAGGAACACCAGUGGCGAAGGCGGCUUACUGGACUGUAACUGACGUUGAGGCUCGAAAGCGUGGGGAGCAAACAG
rnacentral:rRNA from 1 species